UACGUAGGGUGCGAGCGUUGUCCGGAAUUAUUGGGCGUAAAGAGCUCGUAGGCGGUGUGUCGCGUCGGCCGUGAAAACCUGGGGCUUAACUCUGGGCUUGCGGUCGAUACGGGCAUCACUGGAGUUCGGCAGGGGAGACUGGAAUUCCUGGUGUAGCGGUGAAAUGCGCAGAUAUCAGGAGGAACACCAGUGGCGAAGGCGGGUCUCUGGGCCGAUACUGACGCUGAGGAGCGAAAGCGUGGGGAGCAAACAGG
rnacentral:rRNA from 1 species